GACGAACCGUACGAACGUUAUUCGGAAUUACUGGGCUUAAAGGGUGCGUAGGCUGCGCGGAAAGUUGGGUGUGAAAUCCCUCGGCUCAACCGAGGAACUGCGCUCAAAACUACCGUGCUCGAGGGAGACAGAGGUGGGCGGAACUUAGGGUGGAGCGGUGAAAUGCGUUGAUAUCCUAAGGAACACCCGUGGCGAAAGCGGCUCACUGGGUCUCUUCUGACGCUGAGGCACGAAAGCUAGGGUAGCGAACGGG
rnacentral:rRNA from 1 species